rnacentral:rRNA from 1 species
GACGAACCGUGCGAACGUUUGUUCGGAAUCACUGGGCUUAAAGGGCGCGUAGGCGGGCUGCCAAGUCAGGGGUGAAAUCCUGCGGCUCAACCGUAGAAGUGCCUUUGAUACUGGUGGCCUUGAGGGAGACAGGGGUAAGCGGAACUGAUGGUGGAGCGGUGAAAUGCGUUGAUAUCAUCAGGAACACCGGUGGCGAAAGCGGCUUACUGGGUCUCUUCUGACGCUGAGGAACGAAAGCUAGGGUAGCGAAACGGG